CUUCUUUUUCAUCAACAAUCGUUCUUGGUUAUGUCUCGGGAGGCUCUGCAAAACGAUCAUGAUCAGCGUGAAAUGGAUCCAAUACAAUGUGUGAUGAGAUCAGAAGCGAAUUUCCCGAUACAAUCUAUGACCCAUGAAACCAUUCCAAUGAGAAGGCAUGUGCCCCAUUGUGCACAGUUCAGCCUCGCACUGCCCCCAACCCAAUGCUCUAUCUCAAUGAAGGCUGCCUGCAACCCCAUAAUAACUGCCACAGCCACCCAAAACCAGAGGUUCUUCUUGAUGCCCUGGAACAUGUUCUUCUUCUCCAGCUUUCUGCAAUUGAAUAGAUUGAAAACCUGGCAGAGAACAAAACUGUUGAACACCAAGGAUUUAUUGACCUUGGGGCUGAUGCCUAGGAUGGCCUUCCCCUUGAAUUGGAUUGUCACUAAAAUGGCAACCUGGUAUGAGGCUUGAGUGAUUUUGUUUCUCCACAUGGCCCAGGUUAUCAGUUUUCCACCUUGUCCUACUGGUUGCUUACCUAUUAGUUUCUCCGCUGGUGGCUCUGUCAACAGAGCCAAUCCCCCCGGGAUGCCCACAAUCACACUCCCGAAGGCGAGUUGAAUUGCAGUUAUUGGGGCAUCCCCCGAAUGCCCCAUGGUGAUGAAGGUUACCAGCAACCCUGCGAUGACCAUGGUGAGCUCAUGCUGCAUGUACUUUUGGACGUUUUCAUAUGCACACCUUCCGUGCCUCAUGAUGGUCACAAGGACACUAAAAUUGCCAUCAAAGAUGACGAUAUCAGAAGUCUCUUUGGCCAUUUUGGUGCUCCAAGUCCCCAUUGUCACCCCUACAUCAGCUUGUCUUAUGGCUGGAGUCUCAUCUGUCCUGGCUCCAAUGACAGCUACCGUGUGACCCUUUUGCUUCAAACACUCCACUAAAAGAAGCUUGUCAGAGGGAAGGGCGUUUCCCAUGAUGGAGAUUCGAUCUACCCUAUCCAUCCUCUCUUCCUCGGUGUAAUUCCGAAAUGCAUUACCAUCAAGAACCAGAGAAUUGGGGUCAGACAUACCACACUGAACAGCUAUGUCUCGCAGCUCUGAAAUGUUGUCACUUGAGACCAUCUUGAUAUUAAUCCCAGCAUUUCUACAAGCUUGCACAGCUUCUUUUGUCUCUGUCCACUCUGUGUCCCUCAGACUCAAUAGUCCUAUCAAGAUUAAGCUGUUUUCUUCACUUGAGUCAUUAAUUUCCUUGUAGGCAAAUGCCAUGGUUUUGAGUUUUUUGGACUGCAUCUGCUGGAUAAAUUUUUCAAAAUCCAUCCUCUUCUCUCCCAUGUCCUUUUUUUUCCCUUCACUGUCAUAGUAGGAUGAACACUGGGUCAGUAUAGUUGUUGCAGGGCCUUUCCAGUGCAAGCACUCAACUGUUUCAUUGCCCCGGGUCUUCCUCAGCAACACUUGACUUCCUCCCUCAUUGGAGUUCAAUUCUUCAGCCCCAACAAAGGUGCAACUCUGCUUUAAAAUAUCUUGCUUCAUGCCUAACCUGGAUUUAGCCCAGGAAACAACCUCUUCCUCUUCUAAGCCACAAGGAUUCUCUUGGUCCAGAACUAGUGCGUAGAUACCAUAACACAGAGCAUCAAUUACAUCUGGAUGUAUGACAGAGUCGCCAUUGAUAUCUUCUCCACCAAUCCUGCAGGUUUUCACUUGUACUGUGCUCGUUGUUAGCCCCCCAAUUUUGUCAGUGCAGAUGGCUGUUGCUGAUCCCAAGAUUGCACAAGCUGAUAAUUCCUUAACAAGGGCAUUUCCAGACAGUGCUUUCUUAUUCCCAUAUGCGAGUGAAACGAUGAUAACAAGAGGAUAUCCUUCUAUUACUCCUACUAGCAGCAUAUUAAGUGAGGUUAUCAACAUACUUAGCUGCCCUGUUGGUUUCACAAUAAUCCUCUUGACCGCAUCCAUCAAGUCCUUGAUUGUGGAUGGUUUUCCCUUCAACGAUGGGAGCCCCGGCUUAUCAUCUUCAUUUUCAAGUGUAAGGCGCAGGAAUAGCACUACAAUAAUGAAGAUAGAGAUGAGAAGCCCAAAAAUUUCUGUCCGAGUGUUCACCUUGUCUAGUUGAGCUUGUAAAGGUGUCUUAUUAGGAGCUUGGAUUACUUUCCUCAUCAUCUCACCCCACUCUGUGUUCAUGCCAACUGAUGUGACAAGCAUGCGACCGUUUCCGCUAAUCACUUUUGCACCAUAAAACAUAAAUGGGUUUCGGUCAUGAAUGAUGGACUCUGAUUGACCAUCCAGUUCUAAUGCUUCCCCUGGUACAAGUAAACCAUCAGCGGGAACAAGAUAUCCCCUUUUGAUACAUAGUAUGUCACCCAACACUAUGUCAGAGGUGGAGGAGAGUUUCUUCUGGGAUCCCCCUCUUAAAACUUCGACCACUGUUUCCAUCUUUUCUGAGAGCUCGUGUUUUCCUGACGACCUAUGUUGGGUUUCACGCCAGAAAUCACGAAUUGAAUGACACACAACGAUUAUGAUGAUGGCAACAAGUAUAAUGAAUCCUUCGUACCAACCAGUCUCUAGGCCUUCCUUCUUGAUCCCAAAGCCGAGGUACAACGCCAUCGACAACAAAAGGAGGAAAAUGAUGUAGCUGUUGCAAGCUUUUAAGAGGCACUGAAAGAAGGUUGGUGAUGGCUCUGUUUUUGAGAUUGGGCUGGCUAAGCGUCGAAGAUGAAGAUCCUGCUCGUCACCUGGGAUCAUCCCCUUCUCUAAGUCGGUGUGAAGAGCCUCUGCAAUCCCUGGGACACCGCCAAACUUCAUUAGGGAAUCCAAAUCCUUGUUCUUUACAAUUGUGGCAAUGUUGGCAUGUUGGAGAUUUGCAUUAGUGCUACUGCGGACAUCACCCGCAUCAGACGGGAUAUCUAGAGAGACUUGAGGUGAUGGAGGCAAGAUUCCCACAGUCCCAUUUGGCUCUGAGUCCUGCAAAAUGGUAAGCAGCACAUUAUAAAGGAAUAGGGUGGUAGAGGGUUGGCGGUGUUCGUUCCAUGUGGGGUUGAGUUAAGGGAGCUUUUAAAGUCUGCUCAGUUUCAAUUCAAUCCAUUGGACAAUCCUUCUAAAAUUGUUUUUAUGUUGUGCACCAAUAACCAAACAGCCCAACCCUUCUCUCUCGCAGAACUAACCACACCCACAGUGAACACCUAAACACAGCAUAACAAAACAAUUGUCUAGAGCCACUCAAAAUUUAACCUGGCACUUCCGGCACCAUUUUUGUUUGGGAGCAAGAAGAAUGAGAUGAACAUGUCCAAUGACAGCUUGGAGAAGGGGCAGUGCAAGGGUGGCAGCGACAGUGAAGAGGAGCGGCAGCAGCCGCUGGUGAUGACUGAUGAGAGACAACUACUAUGGCUGUGAGGUGAAUGCCUUUUUUCACCUAUGAGUUGUCCUUAAAUUGUUUUCAGGAAGGGAUGAUCAUUAGACCGGUGGAACCGUAGUAUAUAAAAUCAUAAAUAUAUUAUUGAAAUUUAAAAUAAUUAUAAAAAUAAAAUAAAACUCUAUAUCUAGGUCACUUCUUAUACCUUAGCACCAAGAUUAUAUUAUUUGUGUUACCUAAGACAUUUUUUUUGUUAUUAGAUUGCAUUUUUCUAUACAUUAGUACCCAUGUUACAUUUUUCGUAUUUAAAUUACUUUUUUUUUUUAAUCUUAA